UGCCAGACUCCUACUGGAGGCAGCAGUGAGGAAUAUUGGUCAAUGGCCGAAGGGCUGAACCAGCCAAGCCGCGUGAAGGAAUAAGGCCCUACGGGUCGUAAACUUCUUUAGUCAGGGAACAAAGGGAGCCACGCGUGGCGCUGUGAGUGUACCUGAAGAAUAAGCAUCGGCUAACUCCGUGCCAGCAGCCGCGGUAAUACGGAGGAUGCGAGCGUUAUCCGGAUUUAUUGGGUUUAAAGGGUGCGCAGGCGGAAUGUCAAGUCAGCGGUAAAAUUUCGGGGCUCAACCCCGUCGUGCCGUUGAAACUGGCGUUCUUGAGUGAGCGAGAAGUACGCGGAAUGCGCGGUGUAGCGGUGAAAUGCAUAGAUAUCGCGCAGAACUCCGAUUGCGAAGGCAGCGUACCGGCGCCAGACUGACGCUGAGGCACGAAAGCGUGGGGAUCGAACAGGAUUAGAUACCCUAGUAACU
rnacentral:rRNA from 1 species